UACGGAGGAUGCAAGCGUUAUCCGGAUUUAUUGGGUUUAAAGGGUGCGCAGGUUGUUUGAUAAGUCAGUGGUGAAAGUCUGUCGGCUUAACGGUAGGAUUGCCAUUGAUACUGUUGGACUUGAAUAUGGAUGAGGUAGGCGGAAUGUGUAGUGUAGCGGUGAAAUGCAUAGAUAUUACACAGAACACAGAUUGCGAAGGCAGCUUACUAAUCCAUCAUUGACGCUGAGGCACGAAAGCGUGGGGAUCAAA
rnacentral:rRNA from 1 species